rnacentral:rRNA from 1 species
AUUGAACGCUGGCGGCAGGCCUAACACAUGCAAGUAGAACGAGUGGCGGCCGGGUGAGUAAUGUAUGGGAAACUGCCUGAUGGAGGGGGUUAACUACUGGAAACGGUAGCUACUAACGCAUACCAUCAGAUGCGCCCAGAUGGGAUAGGGUUGUUGGUGGGGUAAAGGCUCACAAAGGAGACGAUCACGAGCUGGUCUGAGAGGAUGACCAGCCACACUGGAACGGAGACACGGUACAGACUCCUAAGGGAGGCAGAAGUGGGGAAUAUUGGACAAUGGGCGAAAGUCUGAUGCAGCCAUGCCGCGUGUAUGAAGAAGGCCUUCGGGUUGUAAAGUACUUUCAGCGGGGAGGCGUUACCCGCAGAAUAAGCACCGGCUAACUCCGUGCCAGCAGCCGCGGUAAUAC